rnacentral:rRNA from 1 species
AUUGAACGCUGGCGGCAGGCCUAACACAUGCAAGUCGAGCGAGCGGCGGACGGGUGAGUAAUGUAUGGGAAUCUGCCCGAUAGAGGGGGAUAACUACUGGAAACGGUGGCUAAUACCGCAUACUAUCGGAUGAACCCAUAUGGGAUUAGCUAGUAGGUGGGGUAAAGGCUCACCUAGGCGACGAUCCCUAGCUGGUCUGAGAGGAUGACCCGCCACACUGGGACUGAGACACGGCCCAGACUCCUACGGGAGGCAGCAGUGGGGAAUAUUGCACAAUGGGCGCAAGCCUGAUGCAGCCAUGCCGCGUGUAUGAAGAAGGCCUUAGGGUUGUAAAGUACUUUCGGUAGGGAGGCGUUACCCACAGAAUAAGCACCGGCUAACUCCGUGCCAGCAGCCGCGGUAAUAC